GAUGAACGCUGGCGGCGUGCCUAAUACAUGCAAGUCGAGCUAACGUACGAGAAGCUUGCUUCUCUGAUGUUAGCGGCGGAAGGGUGAGUAACACGUGGAUAACCUACCUAUAAGACUGGGAUAACUUCGGGAAACCGUAGCUAAUACCGGAUAAUAUUUUGAACCGCAUGGUUCAAAAGUGAAAGACGGUCUUGCUGUCACUUAUAGAUGGAUCCGCGCUGCAUUAGCUAGUUGGUAAGGUAACGGCUUACCAAGGCAACGAUGCAUAGCCGACCUGAGAGGGUGAUCGGCCACACUGGAACUGAGACACGGUCCAGACUCAUACGGGAGGCAGCAGUAGGGAAUCGUCCGCAAUGGGCGAAAGCCUGACGGAGCAACGCCGCGUGAGUGAUGAAGGUAUUCGGAGCGUAAAACUCUGUUAUUAGGGAAGAACAGAUGUGUAAGUAACUGUGAAAAUCUUGACGGUACCUAAUCAGAAAGCCACGGCUAACUACGUG
rnacentral:rRNA from 1 species